UUUUUGUUUGUUUGUUUGCUGAGGAAGAUUUGCCCUAAGCUAACAUCUGUGGCCAAACUUCUUCUAUUUUGUGUGUGAGGUGCUGGCA